rnacentral:lncRNA from 1 species
GCUCAGUGUAUUGAAAUAUCCCUCUCAUUGACUAUUAAUGAAUCUCAGGUUUGCUCCAUAGGCAUUGAAGUUCUUGUAUGUAUGUGUGUUUGUGUGUGUGAGCUGUUGUGGUGAUUUCAGUGGCUGUUAUGGGAGUUGUUGCUGUUAUGGUCUUUUUACGGUGCUGACUGUUGUGGGUAUCUUCACAGUUGUAGUAGUGGCUGUUGUUAUAGUUGUGGUCAUGGUGGUAGCGAUGCUUACAGUUGUUGACUGUAGUUGUUAAGAGUGUUUUUGCUGUUGUGCUGGUGACUAUUAUUAUAAUUGUGGUUGUAGCUAUUAUGGUUGGUGGUUGUUGCUGUGGUUGUUAUUAUGGUUGUUUGGUGGUUGUUAUGAUUCUGGUUGUGUUGGUGAUGACUGUUAUGGUUGUGGGUGUAGUUGUUAUGGUUGACUGGUUGUUAUGACUAUGGUUGUUGUUCUGAUUGUGGUUGCUACUGUCACAAGUGGUUGUUGCUGUGGUUGCUGUUAUGGUCGUGGUUGUUAUUUAUGGUUGACAUUUGUUGCUGUGGUUGUUUGUUGUUUUGAUUAUGGUUAUUACGGUUGACGGUUGUUGCUGUGGUGGCUGUUAGGAUUUAGUUGCUAUGAUUGUGGUUGAUGUUGUUAUUAUGGUUGAUGGUUGUUGCUGUCCUUAUUGUUAUGGUUGGUGGUUGUUUCUGUGGUUGCUAUUAUGAUUGUGGUUGUUGUUGAUGUGACUGUUGUUGUGGUUAUAGUUGUUCUUCUAGUUGGUGUUUGUUGCUGAGGUUGCUAUGGUUAUAGUUAUGGUUGGUGGCUGCUGCCAUGGUUACUAUUACGGUUAUGGUUGUUGUAUCUAUUAUCAUGCUUAUUAUUGUAGUUGUUGGUUUAUGGGAUUGCUUAUGUAAUCUAGAUGCUAAGUACCUAGGCUGACCCUGGACAUUGUAAACACCUUCUGUUUUGCCACGUGAGUAUUAAUUCUUUGCUUGUGAUAUCUUUUGUUUUCAGGACAUUAUUUGAGGGGCCUGUGAGAUGGCUCACAGCGAUGUUUGCCCUCAAUUCUGACAACCAUUCUCCUGCCUCAGCCUCCUGACUAGCUGGAUGACAGGCCUCAACUGCCAGGCCUGGUUAUAGCACCCUCAAGCUCACUGCCUGCCCUUCUGGUCUAAGUAGCAGGGGUUCUACAUGUUGAGUUCAUGAGGCCUGCUCUCUCUUCUCUUCUGCCUUAAGGUGAGCUUAUUAACUCUCCUCUUUUAGUGAGUCCUGAAGAGACAUUCAUACAACCCUGACUGUCAUCUCUUAUUCCCAAGCUCUGGGUGAGAGCUUCCAUAUGCCCAGGGAACCCUUGAAAACUGCAGUCUCUGGAAAGAAACCUGGCUUGAAAGCACACUCCCCUCCACCAUCCUGCAAAGGAGGCAGAUGUUUCAUUGUUUGUCCCAGAGGACAUGUGACAACAUCCGCACAGGGAUUUCGUUAUCACAACUCUGGGGGAGGGGGAAGUCUUCCUGCUGUCUGGUUGGUAAAGGCAAGGAGAUGUCACUAAACAUUGUACCAUACACAGAAUGAUUCCUUAAGUGACCCUCCAUCGGAAAGGGCCCCAGGGGAGCUGAGCAAUGCAAGGUGGUCUCAGGAGACCCAUAAGAAGGUCCCUACGAUUAUCCAUACUGACAUAAUGAGCCCUGGAUCAGGUGGUGGGCAUUUCACCAGCCACAGGUGGCGAUGAAUCUGUAGAGAUGCUUCUGCAAGCCUAAGGCCAAUGUCAAAGACCCUGUGUGAUUGGGUCACCCUGCAACAGCCACAAAGUUUAGCUGCAAUCUUGGGGGGAGCAAUGCCUGGCUGCCCUUGUACCAGAAAGUGCAGGCAGAGGUACCUGCCCCAUCAGACCCCAUCUGGCCCCAUCUGGCCCCAUCCAGCCCUGUGUCUGUGUGUUUACUCAGCAAGGAGUCCGUGGAAGGUUCCUUAGGGUGGCAGUGUGACCUCGUGGCAAAGAGAGGGGGCUCGGGACAGAGCAGCUGGCAUAGAAUGACUUUGGACGGGGCUGGUGAGAUGGCUCAGUGGGUAAGAGCACCCGAUUGCUCUUCCAAAGGUUUGAAGUUCAAAUCCCAGCAACCACAUGGUGGCUCACAACCAUCU